UUUGAUGUCAGCAAAACAUUUGAAUGGUCCCCCCAAUGGGUUGCCAUCUCAUUGAAGUGGCCCAGGGAUGCUAGGGAUCACUGCCCAUAGAACACAGCCUUCAUUAUGAGGUGGUGAAAGCUGAAAUGCUAAAAACAAGAGACUUAUUGUCAGAAGAUUUGGCAAUAUCAGAAAACUGUGAAGAAGGGAAAUAUGUUUGACCACCGGCAUGCUGCACAAGGGGUUAAGUGAUUUGACUAACUUCGUGACUUAAUCAUUAUGGAGGAAUUUAAAAACUGUGUACCUGAGCAAGUUUCCACCUAUCUGAAUGAAUAAAAAUUAGAUCAAGUUGCACAGACUCUGGUGUUAGCUGAUGAAUAUAUGCACACAAAAAGUAGCUUGUUUGCUGAGAAAACCCUGUCACGCCAUAAUGACGUCACUCCAUGUAGGAAAUCCCCCAAAGGCUCAGUCGGUUCAUCAAAGACCAGUACUCCUGCUUCUGGUGGAACGCAGGAGGAUUUGGGAGUCAAAGGGAAAGUGUGUUUCUAUUGUACGAAGCCUGGUCAUGUCAUGGCUGGUUGUAUAUUCCUGAAGAGAAAGAAUAAAUCCUUCAAAGGGGUUUCUCUUUUGAAAGCACCCUUGCCUAUGCCUGGACUUUUGUGAAACAUCACCCCUUGAAAAAGAUCAUGCUGUCCAGGAUUAUGCACCAUUCAUUAUGGUUGUGUACCAUUGGUUUUAUGCCAUUGACCGACGAACCUACUUUUUAAAGACCAGGCAGGAUACUGAGAGAUGCAGAUGGAGCUGAUGAUGCCACGUUCCCAUUGCAGAGAUCCUGGGAACUAUGCUGGUGGGAAGAUGCAGGCUGUUACCAUGGAAACCCUCUUCAAACAGAAAGAGAUGAGGACGCUGCUGACCAUCGCCUAGCAACCAGAUUGGACGAUACCCAUAACUGGGGAUGCUGAGGACCAUUGCAGAACAUCUGAAUUAAAAGAUGCAGGUCAAUAAGCUUUCCUCCAGCUGCAUCAAGCAGUGUGAUCAUUCUGAUGCUGGUGACAACUACGACCUUUUACAACAUGCUAGAUAGCUCGCCUAUUACUGAAAAUGCACCUGUUUAGCUAUUUGGCCUGAUUCCGGGUUUGAAACAUCUGGAAAAGACUUGUGGCUGGACUUUGAGAAGAUCACUGCCAAUUCAACAUGGGUUCUCGACCUGCACAUUGACUGCCUGGUGAGAGUUAGCAGCCUGUGAUUGUGUAUAUAUAUGCUGUGUAAAUAUUCUGUGUCUUUAGAACAGGCACUUUCUUGUGUGUUUGUGAUAAUAAACAUUAGUUUGUCAGUUUUA